rnacentral:rRNA from 1 species
AUUGAACGCUGGCGGCAGGCUUAACACAUGCAAGUCGAGCGAGCGGCGGACGGGUGAGUAAUGUCUUGGAAACUGCCUGAUGGAGGGGGAUACCUACUGGAAACGGUCGCUAAUCCCGCAUACCCUAAGAUGUGCCCCGAUGGGAUUAGCUAGUAGGUGGGGUAAUGGCUCACCUAGGCGACGAUCCCUAGCUGGUCUGAGAGGAUGACCAGCCACACUGGAACUGAGACACGGGCCAGACUCCUACGGGAGGCAGCAGUGGGGAAUAUUGCACAAUGGGCGCAAGCCUGAUGCAGCCAUGCCGCGUGUGUGAAGAAGGCCUUCGGGUUGUAAAGCACUUUCAGCGAGGAGGCGUUACUCGCAGAAGAAGCACCGGCUAACUCCGUGCCAGCAGCCGCGGUAAUUC